rnacentral:rRNA from 1 species
GAUGAACGCUGGCGGCGUGCUUAACACAUGCAAGUCGAACGGAAAGGCCCAAGCUUGCUUGGGUACUCGAGUGGCGAACGGGUGAGUAACACGUGGGUGAUCUGCCCUGCACUUCGGGAUAAGCCUGGGAAACUGGGUCUAAUACCGGAUAGGACGAUGGUUUGGAUGCCAUUGUGGAAAGUUUUUUCGGUGUGGGAUGAGCUCGCGGCCUAUCAGCUUGUUGGUGGGGUAAUGGCCUACCAAGGCGUCGACGGGUAGCCGGCCUGAGAGGGUGUACGGCCACAUUGGGACUGAGAUACGGACCAGACUCCUACGGGAGGCAGCAGUGGGGAAUAUUGCACAAUGGGAGCAAGCCUGAUGCAGCGACGCCGCGUGGGGGAUGACGGCCUUCGGGUUGUAAACUCCUUUCGCUAGGGACGAAGCGUUUUUGUGACGGUACCUGGAGAAGAAGCACCGGCUAACUACGUG